UCGCAUCCUGGGGCUGUAGCAGGUCCCAAGGGUUGGGCUGUUCGCCCAUUAAAGCGGUACGCGAGCUGGGUUCAGAACGUCGUGAGACAGUUCGGUCCCUAUCCGGCGCAGGCGCAGGAGAUCUGAGAGGGGCCGCCCUUAGUACGAGAGGACCGGGGCGGACGGGCCGCUGGUGUACCUGUUGGGGAUCAGCCCCAUGGCAGGGUAGCCAAGCCCGGCAGGGAUAAGCGCUGAAGGCAUCUAAGCGCGAAGCCCCCCUCAAGAUGAGAUGUCCCACAGCGAGAGCUGUAAGGCCCCUUAGAGAGUAUGAGGUAGAUAGGGGCGAGGUGGAAGCGCAGCAAUGCGUGGAGCUGACGCCUACUAAUAGGCCGAGGGCUUAGCCA
rnacentral:rRNA from 1 species